GUGGGAGUGACAGAGAGUGGCUGUCUCGGGAGUAGCAGGACGCUGCUGUUUGCUAAAAGCCCCCGAACACCGUCCUCCACCCCCACCCUUAAAGACUUUGCAAUCUGUAGAAGACACAAGGCAGGGAUAUAUACUUUUUCACUAAAAGAGAAUUUACGAUUUUUUUUUAAACCACACUAACAGUUAAAAAAAAAAGAAAAGAAAACCCUCAAAGGACAAAAGUUGAAACUCACUGGCCGGACUAGAAAGGUUUCACAGAAAAUGAACACCGUUACAUGUGGAGUGGUGAAGAAGAAAAGAAGCCAAGUGUGGAAAAUCAUAAUGGGCAAAUUAGCAAAUUUGCAUUUGCUAGGGCUCGGAGACAGACAACCAAUCCCGGAACACUCACACACAAUACAUAUUUCGUGGGAGCUCCGGACACAACCCAGGGCUAAGCCACAAGGCAACUUAUGCCCCCACAAAGGGCUUUGGAUGGGGCAGACUGACAGGCAAGAAAGAGUCUCUCUAAUAUUCUUCCUUUUGCACACAAUAAUAUUAAUAACGAGGGUUUUGAACAUGUAUUCUUUGUUUGGCUCUUCCCUUCUUAUGCAUCAUCUCAUUUCAUCCUCACAUUAGCACUCUGAAAAAGUUAUUACUUUCCCUUUUUUACUGAUGAGUUAAGUGAAGCUCAGAG
rnacentral:lncRNA from 1 species